UAGACUUUAAAAAGCAUAAAUAAAAUUAUGUCCACACAGGCUGUGGGUCUGUGCAGCAGCUGUUCACAUGACACUAUAUUUUAUCUGCAUACAUUUAAUCAUUUUUUUUCCUAAGCAACUGUCUCAAUCUGUCAAAAUAUUUGUAAAUGGAUUCAGUUUCCAGUGAAAUUUGCUUUCACUAGCACAACAGAAAGACAGGGAAGACUUAUGCCUAGUGGGAAAAAAAAAAGCAAAAUUGUUUUCCAUUGCAGGUUGAACAGCUCAGUCCUAAGGCGUUUGCCUUGAUGGCUGUGUGAAGCCAGUACUCUCACUUAGCAGCUACCUCAUUUCUGGGCUGAGAUGUUUCAUUUCAUCAGACGGAUUUCUCCACAGCUGAACAAGCACAAACAACAUGGUCAGAAGAAGAAAAGGCUCAUUACAAUCACAAUGUAUGCCAUGCAUAAACCCUAAUUUACAACUGCGGGGGGAACACUGCAUUCUGGAUUACCUGUCAGUUGUAGACAGCAGUUAUCACUUCAGACUUACAACAAAGGAGAAAUGGAAGGCUUCUCUGCUCCCAGGAAGAUCUACCAUACAGACACAGAAUACUACCUGUGAUCAGUAGACUCUUCUUAGUACUGCCUUAGGUGUUAGAGAUUUUAAUUGGAAGUGAGGUUCACAAUAGCAUUUUUAAGAAGCCAAAUCCAGGGUGCUUACUGGGACUAGCCCCGGGGUGCUUCCUGCUUGCACUGGUUGGGUCCAGAUGUGAGCAUUCUGCUCAGUUUGAUCCUGGCUGGCACAUGGAGACAGUUAUGGAUCUCUGGGGCCCAGAGGAAAUGGCUGGACAGAGAACUUCCUGGGACUGCUGCAUCGGCUGUAGACAUUCAGCUAACUGUGCAUUUUCUGGGACUCAGAAGGGCCAUCUGCUACCCACACAGUCAAGGGGAAAGCCACACAAAAAAAGAAGGAAAAAAUGGUCUCAUGGUACAGUUAAAACCAGAGAGGGAUACCUGGGGGACAGAAUGCAGAGGUGCUCCCCUGUACCUGCUCUCUGCCCAAGGGACAGACUGAGGAGUGGCUGCUGUCCUGUACUGCACUGGGCUGUAAACCAUGCAGCAGGUAAAAACAAGUGAAAAAGGAAGCUGGCAUCAGUGGCCCUUCCCUAGGGAAGGUAUGCAUACAGCAGAGAGGUGUUCCAUUUCUGUCUCAUGUAACAGAA